rnacentral:rRNA from 1 species
GUGAGGAAUAUUGGUCAAUGGGCGAGAGCCUGAACCAGCCAUUCCGCGUGAAGGAAGAAGGCCUUACGGGUUGUAAACUUCUUUUCCGACAGAAGAAUAAGCCUGACGAGUUCAGGUGAUGCCGGUAUGUUGGGAAUAAGCAUCGGCUAACUCCGUGCCAGCAGCCGCGGUAAUACGGAGGAUGCAAGCGUUAUCCGGAUUUAUUGGGUUUAAAGGGUGCGCAGGCGGUAUAAUAAGUCAGUGGUGAAAGUCUGCCGCUUAACGGUAGGAUUGCCAUUGAUACUGUUAGACUUGAGUAUGGAUGAGGUAGGUGGAAUGUGUAGUGUAGCGGUGAAAUGCAUAGAUAUUACACAGAACGUCGAUUGCGAAGGCAGCUUACUAAUCCAUUACUGACGCUGAGGCACGAAAGCGUGGGGAUCAAACAGGAUUAGAAACCCUUGUAGUCC